AGGAAGGUAGUGUAGUUAACACCUGCAUUAUUUGACGUUACCUACAGAAGAAGCACCGGCUAACUCCGUGCCAGCAGCCGCGGUAAUACGGAGGGUGCGAGCGUUAAUCGGAAUUACUGGGCGUAAAGCGCAUGCAGGCGGCCUGUUAAGUCAGAUGUGAAAGACCCGGGGCGUUAACCUCGGAAUUGCAUUUGAAACUGGCAGGCUAGAGUCUUGUAGAGGGGGGUAGGAAUUUCAGGUGUAGCGGUGAAAUGCGUAGAGAUCUGAAGGAAUACCAGUGGCGAAGGCGGCCCCCUGGACAAAGACUGACGCUCAGAUGCGAAAGCGUGGGGAGCAAACAGGAUUAGAUACCCUGGUAG
rnacentral:rRNA from 1 species